AUGGCAGCAAUACAAGGGAGGGAUACAGGGAGCCCUCCGGUCAGGAAGGAAAGCAAAGGACACAGCUCAAGUGAGACGAUAGGGAGAAAGCUUGAGGACAUCAUCCUUACAUCUGGGGGCACGCAGUCAAAUUUAGUAAUCCAUUCUAUGGUGAGAUAUUUCCAUAAACAGCAGACCCUGAAGGGGCACGUGGUUAACCAGCACAGCUCUGAGGAUGGGACCAGGCACUAUUUUAUUAUUUUACGAUGGAAGGUGACUGCAUCUAAUUGUCCCUGGACCACCUAAUAGACGGACCAAUGGUAGAGAUCACUUUUGUCCCACUUUUACACUGUUGUGUUGAAGGUGAACGAGCAGGCAGAGGUCAAAAAUCUCCUGGCUGCUGUCAGGCCCAUUACAAGCCUCAUGACCAUCAUGAUGGCUAAUAACAAGACCAGCGUCAUCAUUCCUGUCUCCGGGAUCAUUUGACACAUUAAGUCACAGAACUAGAUUCUGGCUGCUUCCGGGCUACCCCAAGUCCUCAUGCACAGAUACUGAAUGUAGAGGACUUAAGUGUGGACUUCUGACCAUCGCGGGGCACAAGCUCUAUGGUUCCAGGGUUGGUGCCCUGUAUGUAGUAGGUAUCAGUAAAGCUAGCCCCUUGAAUCCCAUGCUGUUUGGAGACGAACAAGAGCAGAAUUUCAGGCCAGGGGCAGAGAACAUGCCCAUGUUUGAUGACCUUAGGAAGGCUGCUGCUCUGAUGACUAAAAACUGUCAGGCUUAUAAAGCCCUCCCGAGAGACCCACGUAAGAGAUGUCUAGGGUUACCUAGAGGAGAGACUGGAGAUUGAAUUUGGUAAGAAAAUCCGUUUGAACAGCUGGGCUCCAGGGGUGGAGAGGCUUCCAAACACCUGCAACUUUUCCAUCCAGGGGUCCCCGCUUCAAGGGUACAUGCUACUUGCACAGGGCCAGACACUACUGGCCAGCGUGGAAGCUUAAUGCCACUCAGAUGAUGGAGCCCAGCUAUCCCUGGUGGUGUUGAGAUGUGGUAGCCCCGUGAACACAGUCCGGAAAGCAAUCUGGCUCAGAGUGGUCCGCAGUGCCACCACGGCUAAAGUCAUACCAAACCUUAAGCAGGCCGUGGCCAAGCUGGAUGGUCUGAUCUAG